rnacentral:rRNA from 1 species
UACGGGGGGGGCAAGCGUUGUUCGGAAUUACUGGGCGUAAAGGGCUCGUAGGCGGCCAACUAAGUCAGACGUGAAAUCCCUCGGCUUAACCGGGGAACUGCGUCUGAUACUGGAUGGCUUGAAUCCGGGAGAGGGAUGCGGAAUUCCAGGUGUAGCGGUGAAAUGCGUAGAUAUGCGGAGGAACACCGAUGGCGAAGGCAAUCCCCUGGGCCUGCACUGACGCUCAUGCACGAAAGCGUGGGGAGCAAACAGG